rnacentral:rRNA from 1 species
CCUACGGGGGACAGCAGUGAGGAAUAUUGGUCAAUGGGCGCGAGCCUGAACCAGCCAAGUCGCGUGAGGGAAGACGGUCCUAUGGAUUGUAAACCUCUUUUGUCGGGGAGCAAAAGACGCCACGCGUGCCGUUCCGAGAGUACCCGAAGAAAAAGCAUCGGCUAACUCCGUGCCAGCAGCCGCGGUAAUACGGAGGAUGCGAGCGUUAUCCGGAUUUAUUGGGUUUAAAGGGUGCGCAGGCGGAAGAUCAAGUCAGCGGUAAAAUCGAGGGGCUCACCCUCUGCGAGCCGUUGAAACUGGUGGUCUUGAGUGAGCGAGAGGUAUGCGGAAUGCGUGGUGUAGCGGUGAAAUGCAUAGAUAUCACGCAGAACCCCGAUUGCGAAGGCAGCAUACCGGCGCGCAACUGACGCUCAGGCACGAAAGUGUGGGUAUCGAACAGGAUUAGAUACCCGAGUAGUC